GACGAACGCUGGCGGCGUGCCUAAUACAUGCAAGUCGAACGCUGAAGAGAGGAGCUUGCUCUUCUUGGAUGAGUUGCGAACGGGUGAGUAACGCGUAGGUAACCUGCCUUGUAGCGGGGGAUAACUAUUGGAAACGAUAGCUAAUACCGCAUAACAAUGGAUGACACAUGUCAUUUAUUUGAAAGGGGCAAUUGCUCCACUACAAGAUGGACCUGCGUUGUAUUAGCUAGUAGGUGAGGUAAUGGCUCACCUAGGCGACGAUACAUAGCCGACCUGAGAGGGUGCUCGGCCACGCUGGGACUGGGACACGGCCCAGACUCCUGCGGGAGGCAGCAGUAGGGGAUCUUCGGCAAUGGGGGCAACCCUGACCGAGCAACGCCGCGUGAGUGAAGAAGGUUUUCGGGUCGUGAAGCUCUGUUGUAAGUCAAGAACGGGUGUGAGAGUGGAAAGUUCACACUGUGACGGUAGCUUACCAGAAAGGGACGGCUAACUACGUG
rnacentral:rRNA from 1 species